rnacentral:lncRNA from 1 species
UGAAGGACUGAAGUCACCACUGAUCAGGAACUGAACAGAUGGAAGAAUCUCAGUGAAUGCCCCCUUCAAUACAAACCACUGAGAUGGAUGUUUGGGAGGACCAAAAUGACAAGUCAAGGGUCAUGCUCAGAACAGAUGAAUUUCAUCCUACAGCCUUUACUAGGCUUUGAAAAGGAUGGAGAAAGCAAGACCAAACAUUAGUUUUGCACUUGCUGUGUGUCAUUCACCAGACUAUGUCCACAUAAUUCCUGAAACACAGCAGAGAAAUGUUGAAAGUGGACUCACCGUUCAAUAUGAGAGAGGUGCCAAAUGAGGGAAAGAACCAGUUAUGGAGGAGAAGCAGUGGAGUCUCGGCAAGUUGCCCAAAGGGACACUUGAGUUAACCUUCAUAUUGAAAUUGAAAAUGUGAA